rnacentral:tRNA from 1 species
AAAAAAAUUAGUUUAAAAAAAACUUCUAAUUGCAAGUUAGGUAUUUACGAAAGUGAUUUUUUUU